CACGUAGGGUGCGAGCGUUGUCCGGAAUUAUUGGGCGUAAAGAGCGCGCAGGCGGUCGGCCAAGUCGAGUGUGAAAGCCCCCGGCUCAACUGGGGAGGGUCAUUCGAUACUGGUCGACUCGAAGGCAGGAGAGGGAAGCGGAAUUCCCGGUGUAGUGGUGAAAUGCGUAGAUAUCGGGAGGAACACCAGUGGCGAAGGCGGCUUCCUGGCCUGUUCUUGACGCUGAGGCGCGAAAGCUAGGGGAGCAAACGGG
rnacentral:rRNA from 1 species